GUCUUAAGGGCCAAGCAAAAAUGUUUCAGCUUCCUGAGAUUGAAGAGGUGCUGUUGUGACUUCACCACACUGUCUGUGUGAAUGGACCAUUUCAGGUUGUCAGUGAUGUGUACUUCGAGGAACUUGAAGCUUUUUACCCUCUCCAAUGCAGCCCUGUCGAUGUGGGUGGGAGCGUGUUCUCUCUGCUGUCUCCUGAAGUCCAGAGUCAGCUCCUUCACUUUGUUGACUUUGAGGGAGAGGUUAUUUUCCUGGCACCACUCCGCCAGGCCCUGAUCGACAUUGGAGGAACAAUGGUGGACAUCUUGAAGCAAGUGGGGACAACAGACUGUGAUAGAAAGAGAUUAAUUAUGUUCGUAAACACUCCAGUCAGUUGGUCUGCACAUACUCUGAGGACGCAGCUUGGGACGCCGUCUUGGUCGGAGGGUUAACACACUUAAAUAUCAGUGGAGGCAGCUGAACGGAGGACAGCUCAUAAUAAUGGCUGGAACGGAGCGAAUGGAAAGGCAUCACAUCAAACACAUGGAAACCAUUCCGCUCCACCAUUACCACGGGUCCAUCCACCUCAAUUAAGGUGCCAUCAAACUCCUGUGGCGAAGAAGAAUUUUAGCUUGCCUGGGAGCAAGAUCAAUAAAAUCAGAUCAACAUCUGAGCAAUAACAUUGCUAAAUACGUGUAUGUUACCAAUAACAUCCAACAUUUGAUUGGAUUUUAUUUGAGAUAUCGGUGGCUGGCUUUCUGAAUCCCUUCUGUGACUGUCUGGAAUGUGGCAAAUGGUGGAAAAGGCCUCAACCAAGAUUUUAGACCAUGUUAGUUGAAAACUAUUAAAAAAAAUAGUUUGCUGUUAUUAAAAGAGACAAAUUCUUGUCUCCUAUUAUUUAAAAAGAUCUCUCAUGGUUGAAAUUCUCCAAAUCAUAUCUCCUAUCAGUCCUUUACUAUGAUGGUAGAUAUUUCCUCAUGUUAAUGACCAAUGUUGGAGUCCAUGCCACAUACGUCUGAGUCGUUCAAUUGCGACUCCACUUUGUCCCUGUACUGUCGUUUUGCCUGUUUGCACAGCUGGUCUGCUUGUACACAUCAAUGUUCCCAGUCACCUUGCAUUGGUUUUAUGCAAUGGUUUGCACUUUCAGUUUUCCAUCUAUCUACAGUUUUUGGAUUGGAUAAGUUCUAAUAGUCAGUGGGAACAACAUCCUCUAUGCACUUCCUGAUUAACUCAGUCACCAAGUCAGUGUAUACGUCAAUACUAUUCUCAGAUGCAAACCAGAACAUACCCCAGUCAACAUGAUCAAAACAAUCUUUAAGCAUCUCUGUGUGUGUGUGUUCAGUGACUCAGUCCGAUGCCAGGAGACCAUUACAGUGCCCCUGUCAUGUCCUAUUUACUUUAUUUGUGAUUAAUAGGCUGUGUAUUUGCAAUGAGAAGCACAUUCAGUCUUAGAAAUAAAUGCUUGUUUAAUCUAAAAUUGCAUUGAAUCAGUUCCCGUUCAUCUUGUCUUGAGACUUUUCCGUAGCCCGCCACAUGGACAGGGAGAGAUAUGGCAGUGCAUGCGAUGCAGUAUACAUCUGCAAACAAACGCAACCAGCUUGUCAAAUUGACAGACCUAUGUCUUUUCAUAUUCACGCGUCUUUGUGUGCAUACACACACUCACACACAAUGGACACUCACAUGCAAUUGCACACAAACAAGUCGCACACACACUCUCUACUGUACGCACAAUUGUCAAAAGUAUAUUGUUCAUUCCUCUUGCGUAGUGGAUGCUGUACAAAAUAUGCACAGAAUGGGACAGUUCCUCCUUAUAGGUCCAAGCCUCUAUAGGGGGAGGAUUACAGAUGCAUUAUAAAACAAAGUGUGAAAUCAGUUAGCUCUUAAAGCAGCCAGAUCAUUUUAAGACCUUUCAUUUUCAGGAGCCUUGCUCAACUCCUUGUGUAAACGUUGUACUACACAAGACAAACACAUUUCACUAUAAUGGAUGGGUUUACUAGUCUCAGCUUGAAGAGUUGCUCUUGGGAUUUGAUUAUGAGGAUGUGGAACUCUACUUUUGCUUGGGUUGCAAUAAAAAAGAAAGCAGCACAUUGUGGUACCAAAGGUUUACAGUACACCAAUAAGCACUCAAUAAUAAAGAUUCAUAUGUGA
ensembl:lncRNA